UCGUCUCUUCUUCUUUUGUCUUUCUUUGUUUCGCGCUCUCGCGAUAUUCCAUUCGUCCUUUAACUUCCACUUUUCUAUUCUUUUCUUUCUCUUUCUGUUUUUCUUCUUUCUUUUUCUCUGUUUGUCUUUCUAUUCUUUAAAUGGCUGCAAGUGCUCACCAUGUGCAUCAUGAGGAAAUCUCAUUCAGGAUAAUAUGUAUUGUUUUUCUUCCUUGAUCUCUCUCUCUUUCUUUCCCUUAUUCGUUAUUCUCUCUUUUCAUCAUCGCUUCUCUCUUCUCUUCUCUCUUUUCUCUUUACUUUUUAUAUUUUAUGUUCUACACAUAUUUGUGUGCAACGAUUAUUAGAUAAUAUAUCUAUCUUUUUUGUUUCGCAUUAAAAAUCGUCCGUUUCUUACUCAACCGUUCCUAUUUCUUUCUCUAUCUCUCUUUCUCUAUUUCUCAUUUUGCUUUUACUAUUCGGCAUACACAGACCACUCAUUAAUUAGAGUGAGAGGAGAUCCGCACUCAUGAUAGGUGAUGGCGCAAGAGAUAAGAAAGGAGAAAAAGACGAAGAAGAUGGAGACAAAGAUGAGAAAAGAAAGAGUGAAAAAGAAGUCCUGACUCUAACAGGGGAGAAAGAUAGUGCUACUCCCUAUAUUCCCUCUACAUAACUGUCAUCUUCUGUCACUGUUUAUUUGUACGAAUCGCUCGGCAAUGACGCUCCUCUCUGGUGCGGGGCAGGUUUUCCAGAAAGAAUAACGAUUAAAAGGAUCUAUAUACUUGAAACCUUUUUACGGCUAAUGUAACUGUAACGGCGAGGGUGAGUCUGCAUUUUUCAAGAACGAUAUGACGAAGAUGAGGAAUAACAUGGACGGCAAUAUAAUUUUCUACAUCUUAUACCAACAUCCAUUGAAAAUCAUCCUAACUAAAUCUAGGCAUAUGGAGUAGCGCUGAAUAUGUUCUCAGGAGGUAUAUGGCUAUCGACAUCUUGAUCAGGGCUUUGUGAUUGAAUGAUAAAGGAGAAUAAUGCUUUUAUAUAACAUACAUCAAACACAGGGAUCUCUUCACAUUUCUGGGAGACUGGCCAUCAUUGAUUUAUCUCUUUAUUGAAAUCGGCCGAUCGAUCGGCCUUACCACAAUACUGUCUAUUUGCUUCGAAUGGAUACAAAUGCAAUAUUGCGAAUAGAGAUGGGAUUAAAUGCACGCUGGUUAAAUACGGAAUUCUCAUGAAAAAUAGUCUCUUCAUUCUAUCAUCUCUGGAAUUCAACGCUUUCCACGUACGAAUCAAAUUUUCAAUCUUCCUCCCGAGGGAGCUCGCGACUCUCGCAUCGCUGCUGCUCCUCGAGAUAAGUGCGAUACACCAGCUUCGUGAAAGAAAUAUCGAUUCUAACGUGCGACGGACAUUAUCGCGUUUCUCAGGAGUCACUCAACGUAGAGACAGCGGGUAAUAAAGGAAGACACGCCACGGAAAGAUAGACAUGGCGUCGACAUCAUCCUGCAGUGGGUUGGUCGUAACCGCACGGAGUAUGUAUGUGACGACCACCCAGGUGUAUGUAUAUACUUCAUUGUGCGCUCCAGGAAAAAUGCAGGGACAUAGAGACGUAUACGGUGUCGUCGUGGGAUCUGCGAGGUGGGCCCUGAGGUAUGCGUUUUAUUGUUAUAACGCCAGGAACAUUAUUAUCUUAACCCUUAGAAUAUAAUAUCGAUCUUCGAGAUCACUAUUCAACCUCUAUAUAUUUUACCUUUUUAUUCUUUUUACAUAUUUUAACGAACAAUUUCUUGUUGAAAAAUAUAUAUUUUCUUUUUUUAAUUUCACUUUAUUUUUACUAUUUACAUUCUUCUGAGAAAGAAAAAGAGUUUAGCGGUAAUAUGAAAAAUUAACUAGGCGGUCCAAAAGAUCGAAAUAUUGGACGAUAUGAAAAUGAGAAUUAAUAUUUUAUGUGAUCUAAAUUAAUUUAGUGAUUUUAAUAAGUCAGGCAUUUUGCCUUCGUGUUAAUAUUGUCAGUAUUACGUAUUAUAUCAACAUUUGUUAUCUGGAGAGAAUUUUAUGGAAAUUCCUAGAAUGCGGUUUAUCGAUCAUAAUCAUUCAUUGUUUCGAGUGUUUGUUGUAGACCCACGUGGAGGAUUGUCAUGAAUCAUGUCAAGUUCACCUUUAGAUAGAGGAUUGCAGAGUUAAUGGAUAUAUACAUAUAUCAGUACACUCAACGUCAAUGAGGAUCCGAAAAAGAUAAAUGAGCUACCACAUAUUCAUGUUAAACAUAUUGAUUAGAGCCAGUAAUCAAGUUCCAUCGGGGAUUCCACUUAGGAUCGUAGCAGGUUUGCAACGCGAUCUUUUUUGAAAAAUAAUAUCGUAUUAACACGCAAGAGGAACACGCGGCGUGUGCUUAUAAAGUACGGUCCUGCAAAAGUGGACGCAUACACGUGUGGUAGAGAUCCUGCGUGAGUUUCGGGGCAGAGCUAAGUAAGCGCGAGAGAUAACUCUCUCCCCGUUUUGCGCGUGAGUAUGUAUUUGGAGAUGAAUAUAUAUAUAUGCAACGAGGAAAUAUCUGUCUGUGUGUGUGUGUGUGUGUGUGUGUGUGUGUGUGUGUGUGAGUAGGUAGAUAGGUAUGUAUCAACGUGCGUUCUCCCUCCGUUAUACAGGGUGUUUCGCUGCUAAAGAGAAAGUCAUACUCGUUAUACAUAUAUGACCGGCCGGGAAAAAGAAAAAAAGGACACGUGAUAAAAUUGACCCUAUAGCAAGGCUGUUAAAAAAAAAACUGUUCAAAAUCAAUGCUUUUUUCAAAGUCGAUUAUUUUUUGUUCGCAUCUUAUAUACCAAAUACGGUUUAAAGAAAUUGUACAUACAAUAUUAUGAUAUUUCGUGAAAUUUUCUAGAUAUAAAAAAUAAACGAAGAAUUCUCUUUUCAAGAUGUCUAAUUUACUAUUUAUAAUUUUAUACUAAUAUUACUAUAGUUUUCAUCAGGGUGUAUAAAUAAUUGAGCUGCAUUCUCGCUGCGAGAUCAUCUUCAGAUUCCGCGAUGAUGAACGAAUGAUUUUCGGCAAGGACACCCUGUGUGUGCAUGCAACGCAGGCGCAGGCAGCUGUCACCUUACACCCAUGGAGGAGGAGGAGGAGGUAUGGGGCUGCGGCGGCCAUUCUCAACUUAUCUCUAGGAUCUUUGUAAACAUGUCGUGAAAUCCGAGUAUUCCGACAGUGGCGUAGAUCACAGGGUGGAAAGGAUCUAUCAGGAGGCAGGGAAUCAAAAUCGAGAAUCGGCAGCGCCGUCGUGUAAUUUUAAGCCCUAAUUAAACGCGCAAAGAUCUCAUCUUUGUGCUUAUUCGUACGCAGAUCCAAUCUUUUUUAGAGCGGCGCAGAAAAUUCCGUUGCCGAUAUUUAUAUGCAACCGCGUAAUCUUUGAUGUCCGAAGACGAAGAUCCUCGUGGCAUCGCGACGCCGCAUGUGGUUCCCCUGACAACCGGGAUCGCCAGUGGCAACGUCACUAAAUGGAGAGCGCAUCUUUGUUCCGUGCUAAUAAAAAGGACGCGCCUGUGGACACCUAAUGUCCUAGCGGUCCUAGAAUAUGCGCCUAACGAUGUUGGAAACAUAUAGUUGGGAACUGGAAUGCCACAUAUACUUGAGAUUAUGCUGACUACUCAAAAAUAAGAUAAAAAAUUCCCUUAAAUACCGUCGCGCGAACGGGAUUGUUGAAAACAGUUUUUCACGUAUUAAUCAUUAUAAAUGCAAAUUAGGAACAAAUCUGUUUAUUUAAUUUCCUUCAAAAUAAACUUUUUAAUGUAACGCUUAAUUAUCAAUCUACUGAAAACGUGAAAAAUUAAGACAUAAAAGAAAGGGAUAUUUAAUAAAAAUUUUUUGCUAGAAAAAGAUAUUGAUUUAAAGUCAAGAAAAAAACUCAUAGAUAAAAUUUAUUCGCAUAUCUUUACAGCACAUAUCGCGUAUUCGAGAAUUUUGCAGCGAAAUUAGUAUUCCGAUCAAUCAAGUUUUAAUAUAUCCGCAAAUAUUGAUCGCCAUCGUCUUUUUUAAUCAGCUCUAAUUUUUUUUAUUUUAUUCAUGAUGGAGUUAGUUUCUCGUAAAUAAUAAUCGAAUUAAAUAUAUAGCAAGAAGAUAUCUGCUUACAUUAAAAUUUAAUAUUUAAAUUUUC